rnacentral:rRNA from 1 species
AUGCGAUACUUGGUGUGAAUUGCAGAAUCUCGUGAACCAUUGAGUCUUUGAACGCAAGUUGUGCCCGAGGCCUUCUGGUCGAGGGCACGCCUGCUUGGGCGCCAUGG